UCAGCUCAGGAUGGAAAUUGGGGCCUUUGGCCUGGAAUUGUAAUCUGGAGAUGUACCACCAACUGGGGCGUAGAUGUAAGCCUUUUGGAAAAGAGCAUCAAUGAGGGUGAGAGUCCCGCAUGUCAUCUGCAGUCCCCAGUGCACGGUGUACCUUCUAAGAGUCACGUUCCUCGGGAUUGGAGCGCAAAUUGGGUGGUAAAUUUCAUCUAAAGCUAAAUAUUGCUUCGAGACCGAUAGCAAACAAGUACCAUGAGGGAAAGGUGAAAAGGACUUUGAGAAGAGAGUUAAAAGUGCCUGAAAUUGCUGAAAGGGAAGCGAAUGGAACCAGUGCAGCUUGGCAAGAUUGUUACGUGCCAGUGUGAUUGCUUGCUGCCUCAACGCAAGUGUGGCAGUAGGUCUUGAGCAUGACGCUCGUGGUGCUUCUUGCCUUGUGUGUCAACACCAGUUCACGGCUGAGGAAAACUUCAGGGACAUGGUAGCCUGUCCGGGUGGGUGAAUGUGCUUGCUGGUCAUCUGUGGUG
rnacentral:rRNA from 1 species